GCUUUACACAUGCAAGUCGAACGGUAACAGCACUUCGGUGGCUGACGAGUGGCGAACGGGUGAGUAAUACAUCGGAACGUGCCUAGUAGUGGGGGAUAACUACUCGAAAGAGUAGCUAAUACCGCAUGAGAUCUACGGAUGAAAGCAGGGGACCUUCGGGCCUUGUGCUACUAGAGCGGCUGAUGGCAGAUUAGGUAGUUGGUGGGGUAAAGGCUCACCAAGCCAACGAUCUGUAGCUGGUCUGAGAGGACGACCAGCCACACUGGAACUGAGACACGGUCCAGACUCCUACGGGAGGCAGCAGUGGGGAAUUUUGGACAAUGGGCGCAAGCCUGAUCCAGCAAUGCCGCGUGCAGGAUGAAGGCCUUCGGGUUGUAAACUGCUUUUGUACAGAACGAAAAGUCUUGGGUUAAUACCCUGGGACCAUGACGGUACUGUAAGAAUAAGCACCGGCUAACUACGUGCCAGCAGCCGCGGUAAUA
rnacentral:rRNA from 1 species